GUCCACGCCCUAACGAUGUCAACUGGUUGUUGGACGGCUUGCUGUUCAGUAACGAAGCUAACGCGUGAAGUUGACCGCCUGGGAGUACGGCCGCAAGGUUGAACUCAAAGGAAUUGACGGGACCCGCACAAGCGGUGGAUGAUGUGGUUUAAUUCGAUGCAACGCGAAACCUUACCCACCUUUGACAUGUACGGAAGGAUCCAGAGAUGGAUUUGUGCUCGAAAGAGAACCGUAACACAGGUGCUGCAUGGCUGUCGU
rnacentral:rRNA from 1 species